rnacentral:rRNA from 1 species
GACAGAAAGACCCUAUGAAGCUUGACUGUAGCUUGGAAUUGGGUUCGGGCUCUUCUUGCGCAGCCUAGGUGGGAGGCGUUGAAGGCUUUCUUUUGGGAAAGCUGGAGCCAUCAGUGAGAGACCACUCUGGAGGAGCUAGAAUUCUAAUGGCGUUCCUUGAAGCAGGACGCUUGACAGUUUCAGGUGGGCAGUUUGACUGGGGCGGUCACCUCCUAAAAGGUAACGGAGGUGUGCAAAGGUUCCCUCAGGCUGGACGGAAAUCAGCCGUAGAGUGUAAAGGCAGAAGGGAGCUUGACUGCAAGACCUACAAGUCGAGCAGGGGCGAAAGCCGGCCUUAGUGAUCCGACGGUUCCAUGUGGAAGGGCCGUCGCUCAACGGAUAAAAGUUACUCUAGGGAU